AACCAGCAUUGGAAGACGUGUCUGGGAAUUAGUAAGGAGAAUUAACGUUUUCUUUCAUUGCUGACAUAACACCAAUUUUGGUGGCCACUUGUUCGGUCCUCUUGCAGUUAAAAAACAGCCCAAUUAAUAUUUGAGCCCCUUUAGGGCUUUUACAACUACGCUGCUAGCAUUUGUAUUCAGUUUUGUAUUAGGCAUUUCGUCAGACAGGCUUUCGAUGUAAACAAACAGUCCACGGGAAAUUAUAUAAACACAUUUUUACGUAAACACACACGAAUGAACUGUAAACAACAAAAUUAUCCACUCAAAGAGGCGACAAAUCAGCGUAUUUCCUGGUACGUCAGUGGCAUAAUUCGUUCCGUGUUCUGUAAACCUAUGCGUGCUGUUAGCUUGCGCACACGGACGAAUUUUCGCCUUUCUUCUACAACAUCUCUCUGCGUUCGCGCAACCAUGCUGUUAAAAGCAGCGAACAUGAAAAAGAUCUUAGAUAAGAGGCAUCAUUUUCCUGGGUCGUAAACGUUCUGGGGGCCCUGUCGCUUAGACAUUAGAUACUUGAAAACAGACGUUUGUCAUUUGUUAUUUUCUAAUAUGUUUUUCUUCCUUCUCAGGGGUUGUAAAUUAAAGGUUGUAGAGAGAAGAUAAAAACACUGCUCGUUCAUUCAUUCAUCACUCACCGGCUGCUCGCUAUCAUGGUUUCUUUUGUGUUUUGUUGGUUUGAAAAUGCCCAUUGUGGGAGUGUAUUUGCAUCUUUGUUCGUAGUGUCAAUACAAACCUUCCCCUUUCCUGCUUCUCAAGUCGUCUUUUGUACAACAAAUUGUUAUCAUUUAUCUGUAAACAAAGAACAACACUUCAUUCGCCCCUUUCUAGUCAUCAUUUAAUUAUUAAUUUGUUUUGCGGUUAUUUGAUUUGAACAGUGCAAACAGCCCUCGGCGACCUUUCCAAACGUUGAAAAGGCUUUGAUUACGUUCACGUUCUGAAAAACUGUGUUGUUUUUCAGGCAUUUCUAAGCUUUCUACCCCUACGGCGUUUGUUUCGCAUUCCCGGACUCUCCCGAGGCGGACCCAACCUACAGAAUUUAGUACCCAAUCCACCACCGUCAACCUCGAGCAAGAAGAAACAAAAGGAACGGGAAGAUCCGAUCAUGUCACGACAGAAUCCGGCGAGGAGACGACAGAUCAUGGACUCGGACGAAGAAAUGGGACCGAAAUCGGAAUAAACUUUACAACACCGUUCAAUGUUACUUCAACGGGUCCCUCGACACCUCGCCCCACGAGGAUGGUAAAAACAGAGAAAAAAGCCGAGGGAACCGGAAAUGACGACAUCUCUCUCCAAUGUCCUGGAACAUUGAAGGUCAUACGCGUCAGAGCGUUUGGAAUCCCUGGGGACAACGAAACUGUUGCGGAUUUUGACAAACAUUGCCAAGCUAACCUCGGCCAGAUUGAUGGGACGAACGUGUGCAUUGUAAGCCUAAAACGAGUUUACAAGACCAGUUACCCGCCGUUUAUAAAGACGUUAGUUACGUUUACCUGCUCGUACACCGAAUUCGCCAGCUAGCAAUGGUCGAGAGGAAAUGGGAAAAGAUUGAACGACACUCCUGCACGUGAUGAGCACGUGACUGGUGAAAAUAACGUCAUCGUUGGCUCA